rnacentral:tRNA from 1 species
GCUAUGGUGAGCAAGGCAGAAUUCUUGCCUUCCAUGCAAGAGACCCGGGUUCAAUUCCUGGCCAAUGUA